UACGGAGGGUGCGAGCGUUGUCCGGAAUCACUGGGCGUAAAGGGCGCGUAGGCGGCCUGAUAAGUAGGGGGGUGAAAUCCUGCGGCUUAACCGCAGGGCUGCCUUCUAAACUGUCAGGCUCGAGCACAGUAGAGGCAGGUGGAAUUCCCGGUGUAGCGGUGGAAUGCGUAGAUAUCGGGAGGAACACCAGUGGCGAAGGCGGCUUUCUGGUCUGUUCUUGACGCUGAGGCGCGAAA
rnacentral:rRNA from 1 species